rnacentral:rRNA from 1 species
CCUACGGGAGGCAGCAGUGAGGAAUAUUGGUCAAUGGACGCGAGUCUGAACCAGCCAAGUAGCGUGAAGGAUGACUGCCCUAUGGGUUGUAAACUUCUUUUAUAUGGGAAUAAAAUGUGCCACGUGUGGCUUUUUGUAUGUACUUUAUGAAUAAGGAUCGGCUAACUCCGUGCCAGCAGCCGCGGUAAUACGGAGGAUCCGAGCGUUAUCCGGAUUUAUUGGGUUUAAAGGGAGCGUAGAUGGGUUGUUAAGUCAGUUGUGAAAGUUUGCGGCUCAACCGUAAAAUUGCAAUUGAUACUGGCAGUCUUGAGUACAGUUGAGGUAGGCGGAAUUCGUGGUGUAGCGGUGAAAUGCUUAGAUAUCACGAAGAACCCCGAUUGCGAAGGCAGCUUACUAAACUGUGACUGACAUUGAUGCUCGAAAGUGUGGGUAUCAAACAGGAUUAGAUACCCGAGUAGUC